rnacentral:sRNA from 1 species
CGGUAUCAACUUGCUGUGGGGUUAUAAAAUGUAUAUGAGUAUCAAUGGCUCCAGCCGUUAUUAUCUUGCCUUCUCCGGCAAUUAUCUCUGUUCCAGCACCUAUAACUAUAUCAACUUUAUCAUUUAUAUCAGGAUUUCCACUUUUGCCUAUACCUGAAAUUUUGCCAUUAGUUAUACCUAUGUCAGCUUUGUAAAUUCCCGUAUAAUCAAGUAUAAUUGCAUUUGUUAUAACAAGGUCAGCAGCUCCUGUUAACUGUGUCGCUGUGGCUGAUUGAUUCAUUCCAUCUCUUACAG